UGCCGAACGGGUGAGUAACACGUGGGGAAUCUGCCUAUAAGUGGGGGAUAACAUUCGGAAACGGAUGCUAAUACCGCAUAUAUUCAAAAACCGCAUGGUUUUUGAAAGAAAGACGGCUUUGCUGUCGCUUAUAGAUAAUCCCGCGGCGUAUUAGUUAGUUGGUGGGGUAAUGGCCUACCAAGACCAUGAUACGUAGCCGACCUGAGAGGGUGAUCGGCCACACUGGGACUGAGACACGGCCCAGACUCCUACGGGAGGCAGCAGUAGGGAAUCUUCCACAAUGGGUGCAAACCUGAUGGAGCAAUGCCGCGUGAAUGAAGAAGGUCUUCGGAUCGUAAAGUUCUGUUAUUAGAGAAGAACAAGUCAAGGAGUAACUGUCUUGACUUUGACGGUACCUAACCAGAAAGUCACGGCUAACUACGUGCCAGCAGCCGCGGUAAUACGUAGGUGACAAGCGUUGUCCGGAAUUAUUGGGCGUA
rnacentral:rRNA from 1 species